rnacentral:lncRNA from 1 species
CAAAGGGUAAAAGGGUCCAUUACAGACCGAAAAGCUCUCGCGCGUGUCCACAUGACACAACCUUUAUUUACAAGCCUAAAGAGGCCACCAACCCAACUAAAAUGGGACUUAUAAGCCUUCGGCUGCCCCUCUACACACUGUACAAGGCAUGAACAUGCCAACAGACACGGACAUACAUAAGCAUUACAUCAAACACCCUGUUUCAAAGUUUGUCCGUGACAA